AUCUUCACUAACCCACGGGAAGUAAACAUUCUCCUGACUCUCUGCACAUUCUUCUACGUGAUUUUGAGUGACUGCAGGGUAUUAUUUCAUAUGAACGAAACAUAAUUUACUUCAUGCAAGAGUCCCAAUUUUUCACAAUUAUAAGCUUUGGACAGAUAGUCCUCAAGAUGAAGUCUCAGCCAUGGAACUUCUGGAUCAGAGAGGCUGUGCACUUUCUAGGCCUCUGAGAUGGCCCAGGGUCCACUUCCCGGAAUUUCACGUCACCUCUGAACCAAAGUCUGACUUUAGGCUCCCUGAGUCUCCACCGUUCCAGAAAGAGCUUGGCGUGACGGUGAACGGCUUGCCUCGGCGUUCAGGGGAGCUUUGCGAGAGUCACAGCUGGAGGGAGUGAGAGCGGUUCACAAGGGUUUUUGAUAAAUUCUUCACCUCGCAGGUGACUUAGACCGGGCUGCCUCUGGAAAACAGGCAGAAGACAUGUUUUGGACCUGUUGCAGGUCCUUCCAGUUGUGGCAUAUGGGAUGCCGCCUCAACGUGGCCUGAUGAGUGGUGCCAUGUCCCCGCCCAGGAUCUGAACCAGCGAAACCCUGGGCCACCGCAGCACAGCGCGCGAACUUAACCACUCGGCCAUGGGGCCGGCCCCCUAAAAAUUUAUUUUUAUCUGGUAACUGUGUUAGAUGCUAUUUACCUCAUUUACUGUAUAAUAUGGAAAAGCUCAAGAAAAGUCUAAUUUUUAGAAAAAGAAAGCAUGUCGAUGAUAGAAGAGUGUCCAUUUUACGUUCCUCUCCCUGAGCCUCUCAGCUCAUCAGUCUUCGUGGUCCCAGCUCGUCUGCUUGCCAGGAAGAGGAAUCCCCAGCAGCUAGCUCUUCAUCAUUCUGACAAAAAAAGCUGCUGUUAAUGCAGAAG
rnacentral:lncRNA from 1 species